AGUGAACGCUGGCGGUAGGCCUAACACAUGCAAGUCGAACGGCAGCACAGUAAGAGCUUGCUCUUACGGGUGGCGAGUGGCGGACGGGUGAGGAAUACAUCGGAAUCUACUUUUUCGUGGGGGAUAACGUAGGGAAACUUACGCUAAUACCGCAUACGACCUACGGGUGAAAGCAGGGGAUCUUCGGACCUUGCGCGAUUGAAUGAGCCGAUGUCGGAUUAGCUAGUUGGCGGGGUAAAGGCCCACCAAGGCGACGAUCCGUAGCUGGUGUGAGAGGAUGAUCAGCCACACUGGAACUGGGACACGGUCCAGACUCCUACGGGAGGCAGCAGUGGGGAAUGUUGGACAAUGGGCGCAAGCCUGAUCCAGCCAUCCCGCGUGGGUGAAGAAGGCCUUCGGGUUGUAAAGCCCUUUUGUUGGAAAAGAAAAGCAGCAGGUUAAUACCCCGCUGUUCUGACGGUACCCAAAGAAUAAGCACCGGCUAACUUCGUG
rnacentral:rRNA from 1 species